GGGGAAUAUUGCACAAUGGGGGAAACCCUGAUGCAGCAACGCCGCGUGAAGGAAGAAGUAUCUCGGUAUGUAAACUUCUAUCAGCAGGGAAGAAAAUGACGGUACCUGACUAAGAAGCUCCGGCUAAAUACGUGCCAGCAGCCGCGGUAAUACGUAUGGAGCAAGCGUUAUCCGGAUUUACUGGGUGUAAAGGGAGCGUAGGCGGUUAUGCAAGUCAGAUGUGAAAGCCCGGGGCUUAACCCCGGGACUGCAUUUGAAACUGUGUAACUAGAGUGUCGGAGAGGUAAGUGGAAUUCCUAGUGUAGCGGUGAAAUGCGUAGAUAUUAGGAGGAACACCAGUGGCGAAGGCGGCUUACUGGACGAUAACUGACGCUGAGGCUCGAAAGCGUGGGGAGCAAAC
rnacentral:rRNA from 1 species